rnacentral:rRNA from 2 species
UCUGGUAUUGAUUGGUGCUUGCAUCAUGAUUUACAUUUGAGUGAGUGGCGAACUGGUGAGUAACACGUGGGAAACCUGCCCAGAAGCGGGGGAUAACACCUGGAAACAGAUGCUAAUACCGCAUAACAACUUGGACCGCAUGGUCCGAGUUUGAAAGAUGGCUUCGGCUAUCACUUUUGGAUGGUCCCGCGGCGUAUUAGCUAGAUGGUGGGGUAACGGCUCACCAUGGCAAUGAUACGUAGCCGACCUGAGAGGGUAAUCGGCCACAUUGGGACUGAGACACGGCCCAAACUCCUACGGGAGGCAGCAGUAGGGAAUCUUCCACAAUGGACGAAAGUCUGAUGGAGCAACGCCGCGUGAGUGAAGAAGGGUUUCGGCUCGUAAAACUCUGUUGUUAAAGAAGAACAUAUCUGAGAGUAACUGUUCAGGUAUUGACGGUAUUUAACCAGAAAGCCACGGCUAACUACGUGCCAGCAGCCGCGGUAAUACGUAGGUGGCAAGCGUUGUCCGGAUUUAUUGGGCGUAAAGCGAGCGCAGGCGGUUUUUUAAGUCUGAUGUGAAAGCCUUCGGCUCAACCGAAGAAGUGCAUCGGAAACUGGGAAACUUGAGUGCAGAAGAGGACAGUGGAACUCCAUGUGUAGCGGUGAAAUGCGUAGAUAUAUGGAAGAACACCAGUGGCGAAGGCGGCUGUCUGGUCUGUAACUGACGCUGAGGCUCGAAAGUAUGGGUAGCAAACAGGAUUAGAUACCCUGGUAGUCCAUACCGUAAACGAUGAAUGCUAAGUGUUGGAGGGUUUCCGCCCUUCAGUGCUGCAGCUAACGCAUUAAGCAUUCCGCCNGGGGAGUACGGCCGCAAGGCUGAAACUCAAAGGAAUUGANGGGGGNCCGCACAAGCGGUGGAGCAUGUGGGUUUAUUCGAAGCUACGCGAANAACCUUACCAGGUCUUGACAUACNNUGCAAAUCUAAGANNNUANACGUUCCCUUCGGGGANAUNGNUACAGGUGGUGCAUGGUUGUCGUCAGCUCNUGUCNUGAGAUGUUGGGUUAAGUCCCNCAACGAGCGCAACCCUU